GGGAAAUAGACAAGGCUACAAGUGCUCAUUCAACAUGGCUUCGUGAUAGCGAUCGUGUACACUCGUCAGAUUAUAAUGCUGGAUAAUGAAUGAAAUGAAAGUACAUCUGGUUGUUGCUAGUAACAACGGCCUGUUUCAGAAGUAGCUGGAAGCUCCUCGGUGAAGGUCCGCUCCGACGCCUUGGCUGAGACGGUUCUCUAGUCAUCCAGUCGACACGUUUCUGUGGAUUCUCAUAACGAUUCCUGGACUUGUAACAGCUCCUCUGAUGAAACUUUCAACGUACCUUUGAACAGACAAACAAGCCUUCGUGCAGAAAUUAUAAAGUCAUGACAGAUUUUUACAUAUUAAUCCAUUAUUUGACUCUUAUCUUAAUAUGAGAGGGAACGACAAGUCGUAAAUCAAAGUCAACAGUUCGUGUCUGGUGAUUAUAAAACUAUUUUUAUUUCAAAAAAUGGGCAACUAUCGAGAGACGUUUUUACAGUGAGGGUGCGAGAGGCAUUUAUGGUUCUAUUUUCGAAGGCAGCUGUAAGAUAGCGAAUAUUUAACUGUCACGUAAAAUAAUCUCGUAAUAUAGUGGAGUUUAAUUCCUGCUUUGGUCAUGCUCGUGAAGGAAUAUCGGAUACCUCUUCCGCUCACAGUCAGCGAGUACCGUGUAGCCCAGUUGUAUAUGAUCGCA